rnacentral:rRNA from 1 species
AUCUGGGCGGCGGAAUUCAGGAUGGCCGGGCGGGUCUCGCGCUCGUCCGGGCAUUUGAUAUUUCCGUCGCCGUGUCAGACGUCGCGACCUGUUUGUCGUCGGUCCCUGCUCGGAGGAAUCGCGAUCGAGUUCGUUGCGGGCGCGUUUCGGCGUGUUCCGCGGCGAAGACGCGGCUCUCUGGCUGACGACGGACAGUAAGCAACGGUGUCCGAUGCCGUGUCUCGUACUCGGCGUCGGUGCCGGUCAGCGACGAUUUCUUCGGGCCUCUUUCCGACCCGUCUUGAAACACGGACCAAGGAGUCUAACAUGCGCGCGAGUCGCGGGGUUUCGAGCGUGCCACCGGUGCGCUCGUUACUUCCGAAACCCGUACGUUGAAGGCGUAAUGAAAGUGAACAGGGAAGAUGGCGUUCCGAGUCCACGUACCGUGAUCGAGUAUCGCGGCCGGACGUCCGCACUCCCGGGGCGUCUCAAUGGCUCGACUAGGAUGCGGACGGUCGUCUCUCGGGGCGGUCGUCGGUCUCUGUCGGACCGA